AUUUUGUGGGAGCGAAGCGGUGGCUGGGCUGCGCUUGGGUCCGUCGCUGCUUCGGUGUCCCUGUCGGGCUUCCCAGCAGCGGCCUAGCGGGAAAAGUAAAAGAUGUCUGAAUAUAUUCGGGUAACCGAAGAUGAGAACGAUGAGCCCAUUGAAAUACCAUCGGAAGACGAUGGGACGGUGCUGCUCUCCACGGUUACAGCCCAGUUUCCAGGGGCGUGUGGGCUUCGCUACAGGAAUCCAGUGUCUCAGUGUAUGAGAGGUGUCCGGCUGGUAGAAGGAAUUCUGCAUGCCCCCGAUGCUGGCUGGGGAAAUCUGGUGUAUGUUGUCAACUAUCCAAAAGAUAACAAAAGAAAAAUGGAUGAGACAGAUGCUUCAUCGGCAGUGAAAGUGAAAAGAGCAGUCCAGAAAACAUCCGAUUUAAUAGUGUUGGGUCUCCCAUGGAAAACAACCGAACAGGACCUGAAAGAGUAUUUUAGUACCUUUGGAGAAGUUCUUAUGGUGCAGAGACAGGGUUUUGCUGUGUUGCCCAGGCUGGUCCUGAACUCCUGUGCUCAAGCGAUCCACCCUCCUCAGCAUCCCAAAGC
rnacentral:sRNA from 1 species